UCCCUGGUAGUCCGGUGGUUAAGACACUACACUUCCACUGCAGAGGGCAUAGGUUCAAUCCCUGGUCAGGGAA
rfam:TPA: Bos taurus chromosome 11, whole genome shotgun sequence.